rnacentral:rRNA from 1 species
GAUGAACGCUGGCGGCGUGCCUAACACAUUCAAGUCGAACGGUGACGAGGACUUCGGUCCUCUGAUCAGUGGCGGACGGGUGAGUAACGCGUGGGUAACCUGCCGUAUACAGGGGGACAACAGUUGGAAACGACUGCUAAUACCGCAUAAGCGCACAGUACUGCAUGGUACAGUGUGAAAAACUCCGGUGGUAUACGAUGGACCCGCGUCUGAUUAGCUGGUUGGUGAGGUAACGGCCCACCAAGGCGACGAUCAGUAGCCGGCCUGAGAGGGUGAACGGCCACAUUGGGACUGAGACACGGCCCAAACUCCUACGGGAAGCAGCAGUGGGGAAUAUUGCACAAUGGGGGAAACCCUGAUGCAGCGACGCCGCGUGAGUGAAGAAGUAUUUCGGUAUGUAAAGCUCUAUCAGCAGGGAAGAAAAUGACGGUACCUGACUAAGAAGCCCCGGCUAACUACGUG